ensembl:snRNA U6 U6 spliceosomal RNA
GUGCUCACUUCAGCGGCAUGUAUACAAACACUAGAACGACACAGAGAAGAUUAGCAUGGCCCACAUGCAAGGAUGAAACAAAAAUUUGUGAAGCGUUCCACAUUUUU